AGAUCCUCUUCUGGUUUCAGGGUCGGACUUAAAAACCUUGAGAUCAGGCUCCACAGAGUUCAGAUGGAAUCUCCUGUAAAGAGUGUCAGCUGAUGUCACACUUGGAUCUGAUGAGGUAGCUCUGAUUUCUGGAGCUGCAGUGAAUAAUCCUGAAUGUUACAUUUAGGAAGCUGCAUGUAUAGAUAUGUAUAUCAAGUUUAUGUUAUCUCUGUUACAUUUUAGUCUUUGUUUCCUUAGGACACAGUAGUGUUUAGUAGUUGUACUUGUUACUGUAUUAUUAAAGUUAUAGGAAUGUCUUUUUUACCAAACUAAUAAAACUAAUAAACUAAUAAAGUAUCAGAAUUGCAGAUAUGGAUAUAUAUUCAGAGGUGGGUAGUAACGAGCUACAUUUACUCCGUUACAUUUACUUGAGUAAGUUUUUGAAAAAAAUGUACUUUUAAGUACCUUUUUUGCACGAUACUUUUUACUUUUACUUGAGUACAUUUAUAAAGAAGAAAUGCUACUUUUACUCCGCUACAUUUGCAAAAUUCGACUCGUUACUUAAAAAAAAAAAUUAGUUUUAACACAUUAGAUAACAUGCCGUCAGUGGAGUUUCCGGUAACUUUUUUACCAAUGAGACGUGGCCAUACACUCACAAGACCAGUUUGAACCCGUGGCGGGCGGAGUGGCCCAAGCGUUUCAAAGUAGCGACACACGGAAAGAAGAAAUAUGAUGGCAGAGUCUACGCUAGAGCAGAAGAGGAUGAACACCAUUGGCCUCACAUACAAAGAAUGUUUCACUUAAAAGCAGUACAAAAGAACAGCUAUGUCUGCAGUGUCGGUGUCUUCAGUCAGAGCCAAAACAAACCAACUUUUCAGCGUUAAAGAAAUCAGCUCGUAACCUGAUGAAACAGUCUCCACUUCAUCAGACAUCACCUAGACCCAGAGCUGGGCGAGGCCAGAACAAACAGCGGCCUAUUCGAUGAAGAUGAUGGAUCCAUGGGGUCAGGAAAGCCAGUAGCAGAGGAACUGGAGAGGUACCUUUCAUGUCCAUUCAUUGGAGGUGUGGAGCUAUUGCAUGGCUUUCCUCAGAUCAAGAAGCUGUCGAUCAAAGUCAAUACAGCUCUUCCUGCAUCUGCAGCCUGUGAGAGACUUUUUAGUCAUGCAGGACUCCUGUUCACUGCCAAACGGUCACAGCUUCACAGCAAGAACCUUGAGAGCAAACUGCUGCUGAAGCUGAAGCACCAGUUCACUGACUGAAGAAACAAUUUAUGGUAAAGUGAGCCAUACACAUAUGUACAUCCACAUAGUGGGAAUUUGUAUUUGUCUUACUUUACUCUGAUUUCAGUGUUUAUUUGCGAGUGUAGUUUUUCCAUUUUUCCAUAUUACAUUGUGUUAAUCCACUGUCUAUACUUCAGGGUAUUUUAGUAUACAAAAUAAGUUUUGUUUGAAUGUCUAUUCUUGUGGAGUUUUAGCACAGAUGUUUUGUUUUGGGGUUUUUGGGGUUUUUUUUUUUUAAUUCCUGCCGUCCGCCUUGGGAAUAAACUUUUCCUGAUUAUA